GUGCUCGCUUUGGCAGCACAUAUACUAAAAUUGGAAUAAUACUGAGAAGAUUAGCAUGGCCCCUGCACAAGCAUGACACUCAAAUUCAUGAAGCAUUCCAUAAUUUU